rnacentral:miRNA from 1 species
GGAGGAUCACUUGAGCCCAGGAGUUUGAGGUUAUAGUAAGCUGUGAUCAUACCACUGCACUCCAGCCUGGGUGACAGAGAGAGACUCUGUCUC